CCUACGGGCGGCAGCAGUGGGGAAUAUUGCACAAUGGGGGAAACUCUGAUGCAGCGAUGCCGCGUGAGCGAUGAAGGAUCUCGGUAUGGAAAGCUCUAUCAGUAGGGAAGAAAAUGACGGUACGUGACUAAGAAGCCCCGGCUAACUACGUGCCAGCAGCCGCGGCAAUACGUAGGGGGCAGGCGUUAUCCGGAUUUACCGGGUGUAAAGGGAGCGUAGACGGCGGUGCAGGUCAGAUGUGAAAGCCCGGGGCUCAACCCCGGCACUGCAUCUGGAACUGUGCUGCUAGAGUGUCGGUGCGGCAGGCGGAAUGCAUAGUGUAGCGGUGAAAUGCGUAGAGAUUAGAAGGAACACCAGUGGCGAAGGCGGCCUGCUAAACGAUGACUGACGUUGAGGCUCGAAAGCGUGGGGAGCAAACAGGAUUAGAUACCCCAGUAGUC
rnacentral:rRNA from 1 species